CAGACCUGCAGACAGACUGUGCUGCCAGAGAAGCAGUGGAGGGAUUCUCUCUUUCUCCGCUGCGAGUGACCCUUCUGUUCUUGGAAACACUGAAGUUCAGCUGAAACACUUCAGGAACCUCACGCAUUUCAGGCCAUGGGUACUCAGGUGUGAAUGUGCACUGCUUCUGCUGCUUCGUGGAUUAAAAAGAGGCUGAACAAUUGCAAUUUCAGUUGACAGUGGACAUGAUGGACAAGCUCCCACGGCAGAGCGCCAGCACUGACAGGUAAAUAGCACCCCUUCCCUCACCAGGGUGGCAAUGGGUGUUUUGGGGUUAAAUACCCUCACAGAGGAAAAGGAGAUUCAGCAUUUCCC
rnacentral:lncRNA from 14 species